rnacentral:rRNA from 1 species
CCUACGGGGGACAGCAGUCGAGAAUCAUUCACAAUGGGGGAAACCCUGAUGGUGCGACGCCGCGUGGGGGAAUGAAGGUCUUCGGAUUGUAAACCCCUGUCAUGUGGGAGCAAAUUAAAAAGAUAGUACCACAAGAGGAAGAGACGGCUAACUCUGUGCCAGCAGCCGCGGUAAUACAGAGGUCUCAAGCGUUGUUCGGAAUCACUGGGCGUAAAGCGUGCGUAGGCUGUUUCGUAAGUCGUGUGUGAAAGGCGCGGGCUCAACCCGCGGACGGCACAUGAUACUGCGAGACUAGAGUAAUGGAGGGGGAACCGGAAGUCGCGGUGUAGCAGGGAAAUGCGGAGAUAUCGAGAGGAACACUCGUGGCGAAGGCGGGUUCCUGGACAUUAACUGGCGCUGAGGCACGAAGGCCAGGGGAGCGAAAGGGAUUAGAUACCCCAGUAGUC